rnacentral:rRNA from 1 species
UACGUAGGGGGCAAGCGUUGUCCGGAUUUAUUGGGCGUAAAGAGCGUGUAGGCGGCCAGGUAGGUCCGCUGUGAAACUCGAGGCUCAACCCUCGAGAUGUCGGCGGAAACCAUCUGGCUAGAGUCCGGGAAGAGGAGAGUGGAAUUCCUGGUGUAGCGGUGAAAUGCGCAGAUAUCAGGAAGAACACCCGUGGCGAAGGCGGCUCUCUGGGACGGUACUGACGCUGAGACGCGAAAGCGUGGGGAGCGAACAGG